CUCUUUCAAUAUCUGAAGAUUGGUUAUCUAAUAACUGGCCAUCAGAGGGAGAAAUUCAGCUCCAUAACCUCCAUGUGUUGAUCUUCUUGUACUGGAAGAACUAUUUGGAGGAGAUUGCGAGAGUACUGACCUGCAGUUUGUCUUCUUGGUGUGACUGUAGUUUCCUGAUUGUGUAGCUAUUCUGUCCCCUUCUUCCUCCAUCCUCUUUCUCGUUCUUAUCUGAUCAUAAAGCACACAUUGUUACUGGUUGUUUCUCCUUAUUUUUACGGAAGUUCCAGUA